rfam:Sarcophilus harrisii ctg7180002460083, whole genome shotgun sequence.
UGCCUCAGCAUUGUACCCAGAGUCUGCCCUACAGACAUUGCACCUGGAGCUGUGGGGCAAAAUAAAAGACUGCA